rnacentral:lncRNA from 1 species
GAGCUGAUGCAUUUGGUGUGAUCUGCACCUUCAUGAACACAGAUGAAUUAUAAUGAGUCUUGUCCUGCUCAUUGUUCAUCAAUGAAAAGAUCUGGGCAGGUAAAUAGCAAUCUCCAUUAGAAGAAUUUGAACCAUAACGAAAUAUAGCUGCUUUGCACGAACAGUUACCCAGACAUGCUUGCUUACAGCUAUCCAUAUUGGUACUAGUAAUAUCUACAUUAAAUGUGAAGUAAGCCAUAUCUUUUAGCUCAAGAAAAUUAUGAUAUCGUGAAGCAUUGCAAUUCAAAGGAGUGAUCUCAGAACAGCCAAGAUUUGGCUGCCUUCCAUUUAUUUGUGUAAAAUAGUUCAUUGAAGCAUUGACUGAUCUAGGACAACUGCACUGCCCAUUCGAGCAGAUGCCAUUUUCUCCACAAACCGUGGGGUAAUUGCAAUCACCAAGAUAACCAGCAAGAAUAUCAAACACCUCUUUCCACCCGUCUGCCCACUCAUAUAGUCUCAAAUGCCCAUCGGACCCCAAUUUCAUGUACUGAGCUGAGGAAAUCUGAGGCAGGGUAAUCACUGAAUCCGGAUCCCUUGGUUCAGAAGAAUGUAUAUACAAGGCUAAGCUUCCGUUUUGGAACUUGGCAUAGCUUGAUUCUUUAUUUGCCUUUGUAUUAUCAACUAACUGUUGAUAAUAAAUUUGUGGAGGAUUUGCUUUUACAGCAGCAAACAAACCUUCGUUGUUAACAAACAUAGAGAACAAACCUCCUUCAGUUGAGUUGGUAAUUGAAGCACUAGCCGUCAACUUCUGCCCAGAUACCAAUUUUUGCCCUGGAACCAAAGCAUCAGUAGGAUGAUCAAAAGAUUGCCAGACCACCAAGUUAUUCAUAUCAAAGAGAACCAGGUUUCCUUCCUCGGUCAAGUUUAAACCUGCGACAGAUCUUCCUCUCGUGUUUGUAGACCAAACUGAAGUCCCAUCAGCAUCCCGUAAAACCAAAUCUCCUCCUGAUGUAAGUUGCAGGGUUGCAUUGAUUUUGACAGGAUUAUUUCGGUUAGCCGACCAGACAACUUGUGGAAAUCCUGAGCUUGGCAUGACAAUGUAUGAAACACUGUUAGUCUGAACAAUAAAGAUUGCAAACAUAUAGCUAUCACAUGUGCCGUUGCAAAAGAACCCACAAGCAUAUCUAGGCCCAAAUGUUCCUCUGAGCAGAAUGGCUCUCACCUUUGAGCCAUCUGUAAAAUCAACAGAAUGGUUAGCUGAGACACUAUUGAUCCACGUAGUAGACAAAUUUGCAGUAGGAUAAUCAAAAGGCUGUCCAUCUACUAACUGAAGAGAAAGAAGAACGGAGAUAAUUAUAAAAUUCCAACAUUUUGGAAACAUUUUCAGCAGUUCUUAGAUAGCUGGAGGAGAGGGAUUAAGGUCCUAGGAAUAAGAGAGCCCCUCUUUGGAAAUAUAGCCGUCGGUGCAGAGACCGACGAAAGGAAAAUAUUUUAUAAUCGGAGUUAUAUUUUUGUUCCCUUCAAGCUUUCAUUAUAAAAAGUAGUAUUCUAUAAUAAUCUAACUUUUAAUUAAACUCAAGUUAUUUUUAUUCCCUUCAAGUUAAGUAUUAUAUGACAAUCUAACUUUUAAUUACAUUUACUUAGGAUUAUUAUAACAUUGAUAAGAGCAAACAAUCAUUGGUAGCUAGCUAGUAUAGCUUUUAAAUAGCAACUAAUUUGUCUUUAUGUAAAUUUAUGAUAAACCAACCCCUAAUGUAAGAUUGAUUUGAAUUUAAAAAAAAAAAGUUAGAAAACUAACCCCAAAAUGUAAGAUCAAGAGUAUUAGUUAAAAACAAACACAAAAUGUAACAAUUUUUAAUGUACUUGCUUAUAAUUGAUCAUAUGAUAUUGAGAAAGGAAUAAUUCAAACAAAUGAUGUUAAUUCAAUAAUUGAUGUAUUGCUCGUAUCCCUUGCGUUGCUAGGAAAUAAAAUGAUUGGAGAGUCCAAAUUUGAUAUCUUGUCUUUUACAACUAAAAACAUCUUAUUGUUAGUUAUCGUACAACUUUCGUUUUAAAUUUAUUACACUUUAUUUGCUAUAAUAUUGUUUUACUAGUAAUAGAUAAUGUGCUAUGCACGUGAUUAUAAUAUCAUAAAAUAUAAUAUUCUCAUACAUUAAUAUUGGCACUAGCUUUGCACUUGCCUUGAUGAUGAUGAAAAUAAUGGAACAUUAUUUUUUUUCUAAAUCAAUAAAUAUGAUAUAAUAAAUUUUAAACAUGAUAAUAAAUUAAAAAGAACAUAAUAUGAAACUUCAAUAAUCAAUUAAUAAAGGUGUAAUUGAAAUAACAAAAACUAAAAUUAUAACAAUGCUUACACUUACAUUUUAAAUGAAAAUAUCAAAAUUCACCGUACUUUUUAUAUAAUAAUGAUAUUAAUAAUUAUUAUAUGUGUGACAACAACAACAAUCCCCCACCAACCACAAACACAGAAAAAGACUUAAAAUCUUGACCCGUCAUUGGUUGGAUGUGAACAAGGGAUUAGACCACAACUGUUCAGAAGUUUCCUGCAGGCAGAUCUAGCAAGUUUACUUUUUGAUUUGUUGGGCAAAUCUUUUCUGCAGACAUGAUACUCAACUCGUGUAGGACCAUCUGAAGCUUCUUGUUUUCUUCUAAACUAGGAGGGGUCACCGCGCAAGUGCGCGGUGUGAAAUUUUAAUUUUGCCCAGUUAUUUUUAAUGUUGCCUAAUUAUUGCCCUCUAAACAAAAUUUCUAUGAAAAAAAAAUAUAAUGUUGCAAUUGUAUAAGAUUUAAACUAAAAAAAGUUACAAUUACAAUUUGUCAUACAGUGAAAACUUUGAUAUUUGUUCAUAGUCAAGGAAUUCAUAAUAAAUAGAUGAAACAAUAAAAUCAGUCUUGCAAAAUCUCGAAACAUGAAGUCUAACUUUCAUGAUUCCAAUAGAAACAUAUUUUAACGCAAACCAAAAACAAAAAUUUCUUUCAUUCGUACUCGUCCAAGUCCAAGAAGCGUAAUGAGCAACUUUGGAAAGAAACUACUGAAAGAAACCUGCCAUGUAUAACACCGAGAAAGUAAGAUAUAAUCCAUCAGAAUUAGUUUACUAUAUAACACCAAGUUAAAAAUAAAUCAAGAGAAUUGAAUGAUGCCACCAAGGACAGGACAAAUUCAGCAAACAACAGCACUUGUGGUUACUCAUAGUCCAAUACAAAAUUUGUUACCCUUGUUUUUUUCAACCCAUUUCACAAUCAGGAAAUUUUUUUCCAUUUUAUUUGGCUACAAUAAUUGUUGAAGUUGAUAGAUGAAAAGAUUCUUACACGCAAAGCUAAAGUAUCUUGCUUGCUAACUCGGGUUCUGACUGAAGUGAAAGUAUUGGAUGUGCUACAGUGUUAGAUCCUUAGAGAGUUAGAGAUGGUACGCAAGUAAACUUGUCCACAACUUGAUCAUGCAACUAUGCAAUUUACACAAAAUGCCAAUGGAAAAUAAGGUGAAAAUGGAAAUAAAAUGAUCAUGCAAUCAAAUAGGCCAGGAAGAUCCUAAAACGUUAAAAUGAAGCAGAAGCUUCUUCAGAGAGGAUGUCUUUAUAUUCUAAUGACAUACUCCAACCCAAAAGCCAAAAUACAUGCAGCUCUAAAUAAGGUUAUGUAAUUCGGCUUUUAUUUCCAGUAAGGUUCAUAUUACUCCAACACAGGCUAACCUAUUUCCUUAUUCCCUUUUUCUUUAUAAUGACAAAAGUCAAAUCUUGACAAAUCAUUGAAUAAGUCAUGUAGAUAGCAUACUUAGCAAAGCGAGCAGGAUGUUAUAGACUUUCAUCAAACAAAAUUGAUACAAAUUCCCAAAAAAAGGGGCCAAAGAUGGAAUUUCACUCACUUUAAGCAUUAAAAAGUUGUCCACAAAAUGUAAUAGUUGGCUGCAAAAAGGCGAAAAAUGACAAAGUCAUUACCAAAUAACUAAAACAGUUUAAUAGAAACAGUCAAUUGACACCAUCUUACACUAAAUUUCUUACCUGUAAAGAGUUGCUGGCAAUAUCAACUUGGAAAAAUGAAACUUUCUAAGAACAUGAAAAGGAAGUCAAACGAUAUUAUCUAAGGACACAAUCAUAAGUUCCAAUGCAAAAGCAUGAAAGCAUAGAAUAUUGGACCUCAAGUAAGGAUGAUUACUGAACGGAACUGUUUAAAAAAACCUUGACAACCUCUUAAUCAUGACUUCACUGGAAUUUUAGGGAAUACUUUAAUAAGAGGCAAAAUUUUCCACACUCCAUUUCUCAAACAGCUCUGAAAUAGAGAUAAAGAUAAUAGAAAAUUACAUUUGAAAAUUUAAUCAAGAGGAAAAAAGUAUACAUCGAACAGGAAUGGAGAAACAAGCAGAUUUCAGAGAGAAAGAAGGAAAAAUAAGAAUAGAAGGGAAUUUUGAGACAAAAGGCUCAAGUUCGAGAGGAUUGAGCUAUGAAAAAUUUUCAGAUGGGAAUUGAUUAGUCUUCUCAGUGUUGAACCCAAGAAAAAGAAUGACUGAAUAACAAACCAUACCUGUUAACACCAGCUAUUACUUCUUGAACGAGUGCACCAAAUGUAGCAUUUGAAGGACCUAAAACGCACAAACAAAACCACAUAAAAGUUGUUGCAUUCUGGAAAUAUAAGCUGGGCAAAUAGAUAUGAGACCCAAAUUCAUGCCUUAGUACAAGAAGUCACGAAUGAAGUGGAAGGGAGGCAUCCAACCUCUCAAGUGAAUACAAAGAUUUCUAGCCUCGAACACUUAUAAUCCAAAAUAAUACUCUCUGUCCCUUGGGUAUGGCGAAACCUUCAAGAUUUUAAUCCACUUUUAAUUUAAGAAAAAAAAGCCACUGAGAUGUCAAAGUGAAACACAAGAAAAAGAACGAUUGAAUAACAAAGCAUACCUGUUAACACUAGCUAUUACUUCUCGAAGGAGUGCAAAAGAGAGGUUUACCAAAUGCAGUGUUUGAAGAAGUACCUAAAUCCACAAACAAAACCACAUAAAAGUUUUGCAUUUUGGAAAUAUAAGCUACUAACAGAUGUAAGACUCAACAAUUCAGAAAUAUCCUAGAAGUUGUGUAUGAAUCAGAAUUGUUCACUUUAGUAAAGAAGCAUUUUUCAUGUGAGAUUUUAAAGUAAAUAAAACAGAAUAACAAAACCGCUAAACAAAAAUAGGUUACGGCACAUAAGUUGCCAUCUUUACAGACUAUUAAAUACAAAUUUAUACACAAUACACAUCAAGUAGUCAGGACAACCCAUCAUUUACAAGCAAUAAUAGGCCCCUAAAGAAUUAUAGAAUGACAGGUUUGACAAACAAAGCAAGGAAAGGGGAAAUGUAUAAACAACAGAUUAUCCCAAAACUAUAUGCAAGCAAAGGAAAAAGAAGAAUUUUAAGAAAUCCACAAUAUCAUAUAAAAAUAAACUGCAUUUGAUUAUGCAGGGAGCAAACAAAGAAUGGAAGGUUGUUAGAAAACAAAUUUAAGAAAAUAAAAUCAAGCUUCUAAAUGCAGAAAGAAUUCAGUUAAGAUUUAAGAAUAUUAUCGAAUCAAUUUGCCAAGUGGCCAAAAAGAAAGAGACAACACAAAAUAUUGUGUUAACGAUGCCAGGGAAAAAUAUGCAUUUACAUGUGAAAAAAAAAGAGCAUAGAUUUCAAGUAAAAUGAGAAGGAAAAACCUGGAACAAGAAUAGUAAGUUGGUAUUAGGAAUAAACCGACAAAUUAAAAUGAUACAAAUAACUAAUUCUGAAAAACAAAAUUACAGAACAUGGAGAGGCAAGCCAAACCGGGAGGUUCAGAAACCUACAAGAUUUCUCAAGCCUAGGGUCAGAGACCUUGUUUCAGGAUUUCCUGACUCGUUAGCAAUUUUUAUACCUCAGAAAUCAUAUACCCACCUUCCCUAUCAUUUAAGAGUCCUCAACAUUGUACACUUAAAAAAAAUAUGCUUGUAGUAAGAAACCAUUGAUAAUAAACCCAGCAGGGCCUCGUAUGGUUCUACUUUGACCAUCAAGUAAGAUCACUUACUUCAAAAUUUUUCAAUACAAAAAAAUUAUACUCCAAGCAAUUUAAACUACCAGUAAUUUAAAGCAAAUUUUACUAACAUAAGGAUAUUUGCACUAAAAAAAAUUCAUAGUUGAAACUUAAUUAAUCAAAAGUGGAUUUAACAGAUAAAAACGGACACACAGAGAGAGAGAGAGAGAGAGAGAACCCUUCUGGGAAGCUUUAACAGAUAACCCUAAACCCGUCAAAUUCUUCUCUUAAUUCUUCAUUUAUACCCUAACAAUAACAAAUAAACAAAUGAAAACACAAUAAAUCAAUUCAUACAAAUACAUAAAACGGCACUUCAAAUUUUUCUGAAAGAUCCUAGAUCUCUUAGAGCAUAUUAGUUAACAAAAAAAUACAAGAAAAUAGAAAGUGACAAUUUUUUCCCAUCUCUUUUUCACAAAAAAAAAAAAAACUACAAGUAGUCCUUAGGCAAGAAAAGGGGAAAAGGGGUUUCCUUUCUAAAGAGAAAGAGAGAAAAGUAAAAAACUCUGACUUUUGCUUCUCCAAAUAACCCAUAUAAAACAUCAAGACACGAGAUGGGGUUCCAAAAUUCUAACCAUAGGAUUUAUGCAAAAUCUUGACAGUAAGGGCUUCUUUGGAUCCCAAACUCUAACCGGAAAGCUCUUUAACAUAUACAUUCCAGAGGAUUCCACUACCAGUUGCUAAAAAAUCAGGCAAUAACUUAGGAAGGAAAUAGAAAAACAAAAGAGACGCACUUUAUAAAAAAGGGAAAAAAGUUACACAAACUCACUCUCAUCGGGAUGCUGGAUGCUAAAAGACAUUUCCAUUUUUUUUGCACCUGCAACAUCAAAGAUAUAUACAAAUUAAUAUAUAAAAAUUUGACUGCUAAGCCCCCACACAAAAAAAGAUCCAAAAGGCUAGAGAGAGAAAGAAGAAGAGAUUAGAAACCCAAAAAAAAUCCCAACCAUCCUCGUUGUUGUUGUUGUGCUCAAUCAAAAUCGGAAAGAAAAAAAAAAUGACGAAGAAGAUGAGAGAGAUGAGGGGAUAAUUGAAGAGAAAGAUAAGGAAAAGAGGGACGAUGAUGAAAAAAUGAAAGAGAAAAAAAACCGUUUCUUAUUUUUUUCAAGCCAACAAACCUCCAAGCAAAAUAUGGAACCAUUUUUUUUCUUUAUCAUUCUUCUGGGUUAGAUUAGCUUAGAAGAUAAAGGUAAAGAAAACAUAAAAAUGAAGAGAAUAUGAGGGCUUUCUGAAGAAAGAAAAAGAAAGAGAUGAUGAUUGAGAGAGGCGAUUGACGGAGAGAGAGAGGAAAGAAAGUUCUUCUGAAGCAUCGAGCCCAAUGCGAGAGUCAAAUCUCACCAGAAACUCUGAUAACAGGUCAAUCUGUCCACUGGGUUUCUUCCCCCAACAAAAGAAAGAGAACACGUUAGUGGAUGACCAAAGUUGACGCCUAAGCCACAUUACCAACACACCCUUGUUAAAACAACGAACCUGUAUAGAUAGAAGGACGUAAAUAGGUGAAGGCCAAAGGGCUACAACCGUAAUAUUAACUAAUCUCCUAGCCCAACGAUCCAUUACCAAAUAACAACUCUACUGUUUGUGACCAAACAAAGAAGCAACCGGGCACCACCAACGUCUGACAAGAUUCAUGUCAUCAACAGCCAACCAAUCACCCGGCGACACACCCGAGGACGACCACACCGACGUCUGCUACGUUUUGAAAGACACAAAAACAGAAGAAGGAACAGACGACGUCGUUUGGUUUAUCGGGGGAAGAAGAAGAAAAGCCCUCAAACAAAUACAAGAGGGAGGACAACCAAGUGCCAUAUCACCUCCAGCCAAUCUCCAGUUGCCACAUGGGCGGACGACCAUCCUAGGUGGCAGGAGGCGGUUCCCUCUUUAUCUAUAUGGUUAAUAAAAAGCAGCCUACUGAAAACCAGCUCAAGGCAUCGAGUGGUGCACAGAUAAACGGCAAUCCAAAUGCAAUGUUUUAAAAACCGGACCGUUCGUUGAAUCGGUCAAGUGAAAGGGUCGAGAUUCAAUCGGUCGGACCGAUUCAACCUCGGUUCAAUGAAUUUUUUAAAAAAUUAUUUAUAUAAAUAUAUAUAUGUACAAAAUAAGACAUAUAAUGGAUUAAUUUAAUACUUUAUAUGAUGAAAGGUUUACUAUUUUUUAAUAACUUGAAUUUUUUAAAAAUAAAAUUUUUAAAUUAUAAGUUAAAACAAAUAAAUUUCAUCUCAAUUUCAAUUAUAUCUAAAUCCAACCCAAAAAUAUAACAAUAUUUUGAAAUUAUACAAAAUUCACGUCUAUAAGAAUUUACAUAUUGUGAAUUUAAAUUUUAAUUUACGUUUUAGAGAUUGCAAUUUAAAAAAGGAAGUUUGGAGUUCGAAGGAAGUCAAGAAAAUCGAAAAUAGAAAUGUAAACUUGAUAAGAAACAAAAAAUGAGAUAAAAGUGAGUGGUUGUAGCAUUUAAUAAUUUGGGUUAAAAAAAUAAUUCUUUUUGAACUUUUUUCAAUUUAAUGGACAAAAACAAAAUUAAAAGAUGGAAGAAAACAUCAAUAAAUUAAAAAUAAAGAGGUUUGAUUAAAAAGAGAGUGACGAAAAAAAAGAGGAUAGAGAGAGAGAGAGAGUUGAAAAUUAAAAAGAAAGAGCCAUGAGAGGAUGAGAUUUUGUAAGAAAAAUGGAAAAAAGAAAUAUGAGUGUUUGCUUUAUAUAAAUAAGUUAUCAAAAAAAAUUAAAUUAAUAGGAUGUGAUGGUGCAACGGUUAAUACAUUGAUUUUCUAUUACAAAUGUCUUGAAUUCGAAUUUUGAUAGCUACAUUUUGUAACAAAAAAAAAAAGGAAGGUUGAAAACCGGUUCAAUAGCGGUUCGACCGCAGUUUUUACGAUUCGACCGGUUUUUGACCGGUUUUCUGACAAAGUCAACUAUAGCAUUGAACCAGACCGGUGUCAUGGCCGGUUCGUGGUUCAAUCGGUCGAACCGGCCGGUCCGAUCCGAUUUUCAAAACAUUGCCGAAACGCAUAUGCCAUUGACUGUGGUCCCGCUAGACACAUUCAAUGUUUUAAAUUUAGGGAUAAUUGCAGAAACCUCCCCUGAGGUUUCUGACAUUUGCACUGAACUCCCCUAUAGUUUGAAAAAUUACACUGACCUCCCCUGAGGUUACUAAUCCUUUACAAAUUCAGUCCAAACGAUUAAAAUAUUAUUUUAGAGAGUGAAAUUAGAAUUUUGUACCAAAUUUGUCCUUUGUACUACAUGCCCAAUGAAUGACAAAAUACUACAAAUCAAUUAACAAUUAAUAAACUUUAAGGAGUAUAGUUUAUAGGCAAAUAAGCAUUACCUAUUUAAAGUACCGGCUCUUUACGGGUAUUUUAUUUUCAAACAUUUAAUUUAAUACAACUAUUUACGCUCAAAUACAGAUUUGUAUUUACUUUUAAAUAAUUUUUGUUAAAUACAAAAACUACCAAUCUCUCUUCCGUAAAAAUAUUAAUAUAACACUUUUUCAAUUUUAGUUAAAACCAUUUAUGUAUUUAACAUAAAUUAAAUGAUUCAGAAUAAAAUACCCAUAAUGAGCCAAUAUUUUACUCAUGUAAUGGAUGAAAGACAUAAAGAAUUAAUAAGUUAUGAAUCAUUUCUUUUUUAAAAAAAAUAUUUAAUUUAUAUUAAAUAAGUAUCUACCGAUUUCCUUUUUGCAAGAAUAUUACUGUAACACUUUUUAAAUUUUACUCACAAAUAUUGAUAUAUUAUCAUGAAUUAAAUGUUUGAAAGUAAAAUAUCCAUAAAGAACCGGCACUUUAAAUGAAUAAUGCGUGUUUGCCCAUAAAGAGCCGGUAACUAUUUAAAGUACCGGCUCUUUACGGGUAUUUUAUUUUCAAUUAUUUAGUUUAAUACAAAUAUUUACGCUCAAAUACAUAUUUGUAUUUACUUUCAAAUAUUUAAUUUUUAUUAAAUACAAAACCUACAUAUCUCUCUUCCGUAAAAAUAUUAAUAUAACACUUUUUCAAUUUUAGUUACAAACAUUUAUGUAUUUAAUAUAAAUUAAAUGAUUCAGAAUAAAAUGCACAUAAAGAACGAAUACUUUACUUAUGUAAUGGAUGAAAGUUAUAAAGAAUUAAUACUUUAUAGGUCAUUUUUUAAAAAAAAAUAUUUAAUUUAUAUUAAAUAAAUAACCUACCAAUUUCCAUUUUGCAAGAAUAUUACUAUAACACUUUUGAAAUUUUACUUACAAAUAUUGAUAUAUUUAUCAUAAAUUAAAUGUUUGAAAGUAACAUACCUGUAAAGAGCCGGUACUUUAAAUAAGUAAUGCGUAUUUGCCCACAAAUUAUACUCCUUAAAGUUUAUUGAUUAUUAAUUGAUUUAUAAUACUUUGUCAUUCAUUGGACAUGUAGCACAAAGGACAAAUCUGGUACAAAAUUAUAAUUUCACUUUUUAAAACAAUAUUUUAAUCGUUUGGACUAAAUUUGCAAAGAAUUAGUAACCUCAGGGGAGGUUAGUGUAAUUUUUCAAACUACAGGGGAGGUCAGUGCAAAUGUCAGAAACCUCCCCUGAGGUUUCUGACAUUUACACUUACCUCCCCUGUGGUUUGAACAAUUACACUGACCUCCCCUGAGGUUACUAAUCCUUUACAAAUUCAGUCCAAAUGAUUAAAAUAUUAUUUUAGAGAGUGAAAUUAGAAUUUUGUACCUGAUUUGUCCUUUGUGUCACAUGUCCAAUGAAUGGCAAAGUAUUACAAAUUAAUUAACAAUUAAUAAACUUUAACGAGUGUAGUUUAUAGGCAAAUACGUAUUGCCUAUUUAAAAUACCAGUUCUUUACAUGAAUUUUAUUUUCAAACAUUUACUUUAGGGAAAAUCGUCCAAAACGUCCCUCACAUUUUGUAAAAUGACUUUUCGUCCCUCACUUUUAAAAGUGUAAUUUUAUGUCCCUUACAUAUUCACAUCAGUCAAAUUUAGUCCCUAACUAAGUUUCCGAUCAUUUUUUUGCCGGAAUCCAUCACGUGCAAGGCACGUGAUCAUUUUUGAAGGGUAAAUUUGUCAAAUUAUAUUUUACAUAAUCUGAUCUAUAGUCCUCCACAUUUUAUAAAAUAAAUUUUUUCGUCCCUCACAUUUUAUAAAAUGAUUUUUUCAUCCCUCACAUUUCACAAAAUGAAUUUCUCCAUCCCUCACAUUUCAAAAAAUGAAUAUUUCCAUCCCUCACUAAUUAUGUAUGUGAGGGAAACCCUAAAAAAAAAAUGUGCGUGAAUACAUUUUGUUUAAACACAUGUAUAUGUCUAUUUGAUUUUGUUUAAUAAUACGAAUAGCAUAAAUAUAUGUAUGUGUCUAUUUGAUUUCACUUAACAAUACGAAUACCAUAUAUUAUACGUGAUCAUUUGAAUUAAUCUGGUAUUAGCUAGUAAAUAAUUUUGCAUUCAUUGUCAAGUUGGCCAAUAAAGUUAUUUUCGGUCAAAAUACAAUAAGAAUAUGCAAAUUAAGGUUCUAUUGGUAAAUAUUAGUCAUAAUCGUACAAAAAGAGAAGAUAGCCCAUAAGUUGGGUCCAAUUACAUACAUGUGUUUAUGCUAUUAUUAUUAAGCAAAAUAAAAUAAACAUAUACAUGUGUUUAAAAAAAUGUAUUCACACACAUAAUUAGUGAGAAAUGAAAAUUCAUUUUUUGAAAUGUGAGGGAUGGAGAAAUUCAUUUUGUGAAAUGUGAGGGAUGAAAAAAAUCAUUUUAUAAAAUAUGAGGGACGAAAAAAAUUAUUUUAUAAAAUGUGGAGGACUAUAGAUCAGAUUAUGUAAAAUAUAAUUUGACAAAUUUACCCUUUAAAAAUGAUCACGUGCCUUGCACAUGAUGGAUUUCAGCCAAAAAAUGAUCGGAAACCUAGUUAGGGACUAAAUUUGUCCGAUGUGAAUAUGUAAGGGAUAUAAAAUUACACUUUUAAAAGUGAGGGACGAAAAAAGUUAUUUUACAAAAUGUGAAGGAUGUUUUGGACGAUUUUCCCUUUACUUUAUCACAAAUAUUUAUUCUCAAAUACAUAUUUGUAUUUACUCUCAAAUAUUUAAUUUUUGUUAAAUACAAAACCUACCAGUUUUUCUUCCGUAGAAAUAUUAAUAUAACAUUUUUUCAAUUUCAAUUACAAAUAUUUAUGUAUUUAACAUAAAUUAAAUGAUUCAGAAUAAAAUACUCAUAAAGAGCUAAUACUUUACUCAUGUAAUGGAUGAAAGCCAUAAAAAAUUAACAUUUUAUAGGUCAUUUCUUUUUUUUUUAAAUUUAUAUUAAAUAGAUGACCUAUCGAUUUUCUUUUUACAAGAAUAUUAGUGUAACACCUUUUAAUUUUUAAUUACAAAUAUUGAUAUAUUUAUUGUAAAUUAAAUAUUUAAAAAUAAAAUACAUGUAAAGAGCCGGUACUUUAAAUAAGUUAUGCGUGUUUGCUUAUAAACUAUACUCCUUGCUUAAAUCAAUAAACUACACUCCUUAACUUAAAUCAAUAAACUAUACUCCUUACUUUAAAUAGUGUAGUUUAUAGGCAAAUACGCAUAUCCUAUUUAAAGUAUCGGCUCUUUACAGAUAUUUUAUUUUCAAAUAUUUAAUUUAUGAUAAAUAUAUUAACAUUUGUAAUUAAAAAUUAAAAAGUGUUAAAGUAAUAUUUUUGCAAAAAAAAAUCAGUAGGUUAUCUAUUUAAUAUAAAUUAAAUAUUUUUUAAAAAAUAAAUGACCUCAUAAACUAUUAAUUUUUUAUGACUUUCAUCCAUUACAUGAGUAAAGUAUUGGCUCUUUAUGGAUAUUUUAUCCUGAAUCAUUUAAUUUAUGUUAAAUACAUAAAUAUUUAUAACUAAAAUUGAAAAAGUGUUAUAUUAAUAUUUCUACGGAAGAAAAACUGGUAGGUUUUGUGUUUAACAAAAAUUAAAUAUUUGAGAGUAAAUACAAAUCUAUAUUUGAGAAUAAAUAUUUGUAAUAAAGUAAAUGUUUGAAAGUAAAAUACAUGUAAAGAGCUGGUACUUUAAAUAGGUAAUACGUAUUUGCCUAUAAACUACGCUCGUUAAAGUUUAUUAAUUGUUAAUUAAUUUGUAAUACUUUGCCAUUCAUUGGGCAUGUGGCACAAAGGACAAAUCAGGUACAAAAUUCUAAUUUCACUCUCUAAAAUAAUAUUUUAAUCAUUUGGACUGAAUUUGUAAAGGAUUAGUAACCUCAGGGGAGGUCAGUGUAAUUGUUCAAACCACAGGGGAGGUAAGUGUAAAUGUCAGAAACCUCAGGGGAGGUUUCUGAAAUUAUCCCUUAAAUUUAUCCUCUCUGUUUUCUGUUCCUGUUUAGGGUUGAUGCUGGACCGAGUAGCUUUAGCUUGCAAGCCACUCGUACAGCAGCUCGGCUCGAGUUCAAUUUGACUGAGUUCGAGUUGCUUGAUAGAAGCAGCGAGCCGAGUUCGAGUUUUAAUAUUUUGCACUCGAGCCUAAUCGAGGUUUUAUAAUAUAUAUUUUAAUUUUUAUUAUUGUGAAAUAUCAAUAAUAUCUUUUAUUUAAAAUUAUAUGUAAAAUAUUAAUUUUUAUUACGGGAGUUUGAUUAGGGUGGAUUGAACUCGAAUAAGCUCGAUUGAGCUUGAUUUGAAUUGAUUAUAUUUAAUUAAGCUCGAGCUCAAUCUCGAGCUUAGCUAUUUUACCUCGAAUAGUGUUCGAGCUCGACUCGACUUGAACGCACCCCUAUUCCUGUUCAAGAAUAAUCUAGCAGCCUAACACCCAAUAAGAAACAUAAUGGCUUUAGACAUAAUGGGUUUUUCCAGCUUUUGACUAAAUCAGCUUAGUAAUUGAAGAACUUGUAAUAGCCAUGUUGACUUGUUCUAUUUGUUUUAGUCGUUUCAAUCUCUUUAUUUGCAAUUGUACUUCUUGUUCAUGAGGUUUCGAACACAGACUGAGGUUAAGGAUCAUGAUGGCUGAAAAUUACAGAAAGAUUAUUGCCCCAUGCGUUGACCUUCCUCAAAAACUUUCCAGGAAUGGCAGAUGAUUACUUAUUCAAGAGUACAGAAUGAGUGUCUAAACUUGACGAAAAGGAAAAGCAAAAGGAAUACGGGGAGCCGGUUGUUUAAGCCUACUUCCCUUUCCUUAUCAAUCCAAUGAUAAGGAAAAUAAUGUCAAAAUUAUUUUGACAGUCGGAAACAAUGUCAAAAUUUUGAUAGAGGAAAAUAAUGUUUCAUCUAAAAUACAAAUAUAUAGGCAUGUCCUUUCCAACAAAAAUUGGGACUUUUUUUUAUCCCCGGAGCAUAAUUGAAGCCUCUGGCUCCAAGUUCAUCACUGAAGUUAUUUGUCAUGGCUUUCAAAUCUACAUAUGAGAAUCUGAAGAGCAUCCCUGGCACUUGAUUCAAAUGAACUUCAUCAUAUUCCUGAAUUUUCAUGAACUUUACUAAUAGCAUGAAGCAAGCCCCAACAACUAGAAAAAUACCAAAGAUAGCUUCCAGACUGGAUCCAAUUAUAACUAUUACACUCCUUGAAUUGCUUUUAGGAGAAUUCACCAAGGCAUUGCUUCCCGUUGAAGUCUAUUGCACCUUAACAAAUAAAGAGACUGUUACACACUCCUCCAUCAUUUCUAAGGGAAAAUACUGCAUUCACUAACGAGCAACUCCCCCCUCAGAUUGCAAAAUGUAUCCACAAGUGAAUACCGAGCUUUACAAGAACAGUUCUUUAAACAGAACUCUUUACAUUGCUCCAACUUCAUGUUCUCACCAUAUAGAUUUGAGGUACUGUCAAAGUAACUGAUGUUUUCAAGUUCUAGAAGAGAAUGAUGCUGAUGAUGGUAACAAUCGAUUGGAGUAGUGAGGAAACAUCCAAUAUUGGGUUGUCUGAAAUUCACAGGUCUGAAAAAGCUUGUGUCACCAUUAUCAAUUUCAGAGCAACUGCAUUGAUUCCUUGAGCAAAUGCCAUACUUUCCCACAGCAUUGGGUAUCCGCAAUCGCCAGUGUAUAAGAGAUCACCUAUCACUACCCAAUCUCAAUUUGACGAGGCAUAAACCCUUAAAUGUCCAUCAGACUCUAAUUUCAUUACUUGGGCUGCGGGUGAAAGCGCGUAAUUGUCAAAGCUUCCGUUCUCAAACUUAACAUCAAGAGGUAUAGUUGCAGCACUUAAACCCUCGUACAUGUCUGAGUAAAAAUAGACCUGUGGUGGGCUGCAUUCAUUAUAGGAAACCAAGGUUCCAUUUUCAACUGCAAGGGAGUAUAUGCCUUGACUUGAAUUUGAAUCUGAUAUUCGAGAAGACAGCCUCUGACUGGAAUGAAGCUUCUGUCCGAGAACCAAAGAGUCUGUUUCGUGAUCAAAUGAUUGCCAAACAGAUCUACUCUUGCUGUCAAAGAGUAGUCGAUUUCCCAUUCCAGUCAAGUUUGAGCCUGCAACAGACUUGCCACCAGUACUGGUUGACCAAACUAUUCUACCAUCUGCAUCUGCCAAGAUCAAAUCUCCAUCUCGAGUGACAUUCAAGGUUGCAUUUGCUUUAACAGGAUUGUUUCUGUUAGGAGACCAGACUACUUGAGAGGAUUGUAUAGUGGGAUUGUCGGAACCAUCCCUUUGAUCUUCCGGGGAAAUAAGGGCUCCCAAAAUGUGAAAGCCCGAAUUUUUUUGUAAAUAAUGUUAUUAAUUAUUAUACUAGUUGUUUACUUAGUUAAUUUAUAUCUAUACAGGUUGAUGUUACUCUUGUUUUAUCUCAACCACCAAGUGAUAGUAAGAAUCCACAACCGACUCACUUUCCAUAUAGCCUAAAUAACCGACCUAACAUGCUAACAUGUCUUACAUAUUCCAUCUGAUCAUAUAGCGAAUUUAAUAGAUGUCAUGAUAGAGAGCGUAGGGAUUAACGUGAACUUGUAGAUAUUAUAGGAGACAAAUUAGGAGAUAAAGUAGGAAGAGAUAGAGGUUAGUUUGAGUGGUGGAGUUAUUUUAGGUAGAAGUGGCGACAACUAACUCCAACUAUAACUAGUCUAAUAGCAGUUAAAUUUUUACAGCGUUACAAGAGAAAACCAUAAAAAUAGAGAGUAAGAAAGUGUCAACGCAGCAGCGGAAGGAAAAAUGGAAAUCAAGGGAUUGGACAAAGGAAAGAAUACAAGAAUUCGACUCCUCUGACAAUGAACACGUAAGGUCGCGAACUCUUCUUUUAAUAGUUCUUAGUUUUCUCUUUUAUUAACCAAAGAUUUUCAUCUGUAGCAGCCCCGAAACAUGUCUGAAAUAUUAGAUACAAGUUUUUGUGAGUUUUGAUAAGUGUUCUUGUUUAAAUUAGGGAAAUUCAUAAGCCAUGCGAUUUCCUUUUGGUUAAUAAUAAUACUCUCCUCGUCCCACUUUGAUAGUCCUGAUUUUUUUUUUCACUAAGUUCAAGAAAAAGUAGUUAACUUUGUUGGAACAAUCAAUUUAGAUAACUAUUUUUCUAAAAUACCCUCACAUUAAUUAGAGUACAACUUUAUGGGAACUUGAAUUGAUAGUAAAAAAAAGAAUCAAUUCUCAUUAAAUAGGGUAGGUUUAUAGUAACAACAACUUAUAUUGAAUAAGGGUAUUUUAGAAAAAUUAAAAUACAACUACAUUCUUCAAUUGGAAAGUGAACUACAAUUUGGGACAGAUGAAAAAGAAAAACAGGACUAUCAAAGUGGGACGGGAGUAAUAGUUUGAAUGUAGAAAGUCAGAAGAAUACUCAAACCAAUGAAAAAGGUGAAAGUAACUGGACCGUGCUUUAUGUAAUAUGUUUGAGAGGAAUUGAUGAUUUCUUUUUUGAAGCACCUCUGUGGUUCUGCCUGUCAAUGGGGUUUGGUUAGAGAAUAGAAGGAAUUUUAUGGCAUAAGGGGCAUUGGAAGGCAAGGCCACCAUUUAUAUGAGUUAAAAGGACAAAGUAUUGGUGGUUAAUUCUUGGUUUUUCUGCUGGAAUGGAGGAAGAAAAUAAUAAAAUGGCUCAAUGCCUUAAGAUUAUUCUAUUCCUAAGUUUUCAACACAAAUAAAAGAUUGGCCAUGUCUUUCGUUUUCGUGAGGAUGCUCUGUUAGUAACAAGUAGGGGUGGGCAAAAAAACCCGCCGAUCCGAAAACCCGAUGAACCCGAUCCGAUCCGAUCCGAAAAAUAGGAUACCCGAUCCGAUUUUUCUUAGCGGGGCAGAUGAGGGUCCGGUACCCAAAAAAUCGGGUACGGAUACGGAUCAGAAAAAUAAAAACCCACGGGUACCCGACCCGCAGGGUAUAUUUUAUAAAUAUUAAAAAGUAGGGAUCAUUUUAUAAUUUUGUAAUUUUUAAUUCUAAGUGCAAGUGAAGUGGCUCGCAGCCUCAUAUUCUAAUUCUAUAUGAUCUACUCUUCUCAUUUUUUUGAAGAAAGCGAAUAUUCUCGGUGAAACAUGAACAAAAUGAAAAUUUUUUUUUGUAAAACUCUGUUAUAAAAAUUGUUCAUCCCUUUCAUCUUUUUUAUUUUAUUCUACCUCCAUCGAUCUUUCCUGCAAAUCUUGCAUCAAUUCAAUCAAAGAUUUUUGUUUGGAGUUUCAAUUUUCUGUUAGCUAGAUAAUUAAAAUAUUUGUGUCAUUCAUUUGCAAUUAUAUCUCUUUAAUUUGCCUCUUUUAUUUAGUGUAAGAAAUUUAUUUUUCUUUUUCAUCACCUUAAUACCAUAAGGUCUAUUCCAAAGAUGUAAAGAAGUUGGGGAAGAUUUUUAACAUUAUUUUGGUUAUAUUUUUUUCAAAAAUAAUUAGUUCUAUUCAAUUCUUUUCCGAACUUGAUUUCACAAUUGACUUAUUUGAGAUGCGGUCUUGUACCAUAAUAUCUUUGGGGAAGUUACCAAAUACUUAUUAUCCUUGUGUUUGUUGUGUUGUAGAAGUAUGAAAUGUGUGAAAAUGGUGAUGUACUCAAAAUUAUUAUGAAACUUCGUUUUGUCUAUUAGAUAUUCUAAUAUGUACUAAAUUUAUGAGAUCGAUUUGAUUAUUGGAUGAAAUGUGUAAGAAUGGUGAUGUAUGGACUUUAAUUACAAUAUCUCUACCAAUAUUAAUUGGAAAAGCAUGUUUUUUUUAUUGAAAAACAUGUUGAUAUUAAGUAGAAAAUAAAUUUUUUUUAUUGAAAAAUAGUUUUUUUUAGGGGCGGGUACCCUAUGACCCGCCCCUUUUUUCGGGUACCCGCUAUUCGGGUACCCGAAAAUAUUAGGAGCGGGUUAGGGUCGCAAAAUGGCUGAUCCGAUAUAUUAGGGUCGGGUCAGCCAAAUCAUGUUAGGGGCGGGUACCCGACCCGUGCCCACCCCUAGUAACAAGAGGAAGGAGAAGACGUUGAUUUGGUCUAGUUUUCCGAGUUGUUGCAAAUUGCAAAUUAGCCCUUGAGAUUUGGGUCAAUUAGAAUAGGGUAGCUAAAGUAUAUUAAAAAAAAACUUGUAUUUGGACUAAUUUCAGAUUAUAUAGCAUUCCUGCCUAAAUUGAAAAUAAAUUAUUUUAAGAAUGACCCAAUUAGUAUAAUUUAGUCAAACCCAAUGUUUCUUCAAAUAAAGCCAAUCUUGUUAUAACAGAACCAUUUUGAUCUAAUUGAAUCCAGGGACUCUAUUAAAAACCCAAAUAAAAAUUUUAAAUCCAAAUACAAAAAUAAAAUAAAAUAAACAAGGCAUUUUACAUUAAUGGCCUUAUACAUUAAAUUGUGAGUUAAAGUUGAUUAUUAAUAAAGGUUGAUUUAGGCCGAAAGAGAAUUGGGCUUUAGUUAAACUAGUAUCACCUUUUUAGGAUAAAGUCAAUAAUUUACCGGAUAAUUGGUUUAAUGGAUAUUUUGUUGGACUUAUUAAACUUUCCCAAACAAAUAUAAUGAACAUAUCUUAUAAAACUUAAAAACAAGAGUGUAGUAUUUUCUAUACGUGUCUCACCUUUGAUCAUGGAAUCCUAGGGUUGAACACAUUACACACAUUCUUCAGGAAGUUUUGAAAACCCAAAAUUAAUUAUAACAAUCUAAGUUUUGACAAAUAGACCCAAUAACAAUCCUAAAGAUUCAAGAUUUUCUUGUAAGUUCUAUUUGACUAAAAAGAAAAAUAUGUUUAUGGUUGGAUUCAGCUCUAGGUCCGAACAUAUAUUUAAAUUGACUUUAAAUAAUGCCGGCCAUAUCUACAAUAAAUAAAUAAAUGAGUAAGUUAAAUAAAUAAAUAGCACUUAUUUUAUGGAUAAUCAAAUUAUAGCCUCUUCUAAAAAGGGAGAACCUUCUCAAUUAGGAAACUUUCUAAAAACGAAAACUUUCUAUUUUAGGAAACUUAUCAACUACUUUCUAUAAAAGGUUCAGACAUGCUUCCUAGGGUUAUUCAAUAUAGGAAUAAGCACCUUAAGAGUUGGACAUAUGAACUAAUCAAGAUAUAUAUAUGACAAUGGUUAUAGGUUUGAAAGGAGUUCUUGGACAUGUUAAGAAUCCCUUCAAUCGAAUAGUUUGAGGUUGCUGGUGCUUACGCCUCUGCAUUUUCGAAAUGUUAAAUAUGCAUAUUUUUCAAGUAAGAGCUUUAUUUUGGUAUAUGAAGAAAUGGAUCAUGUAUGUCUGUUUCAAAUGUUUUUGCAAGCACGAAAUUAUGAAUAUUUGAAAUAUUUUGCUAUGCAAUAUUUUAUGGAAUGAGUGGCAUAUUUUAUGAAACGAAAGAAUGGUGCAUGUGACGUGUGAAAUGAUUUUAUGUUACGAAAAACUCUAAACAGUCAUGAAAUAAAUGGUAGGGGCUAUAGUUUUGUCUAAUGAUCAUGGUAAUCUGGUAUGGAGUUCGACCGAUUGACAAGGUCAAGGUAGUUCAGUAUAGAAUCCAACCAAUUGACAGUCAUGAUAGUUCAGUAUAGAGCCCGACCAAUUGACUUAUGUAUGUAAUGAGACCAAUCCGUAGUCAUGAAACCUAUUAUGAGCUAUGUUUAUAAAAUGAUAUGAUCUGAUUGAUAUUUUUAUGAUUUACAAGUAUGUUCAAUGAAUACGAUAAUUUCAAGUUAUGUAUAUUUCUAUGUCACGUUCGAUGGGGGUCACCUUUAGAACCUGCGAGACUAAGUGUCACAUUGGACGGAGGUCACUUAUGUAUAUGCCACUCACCUUCAAUGAAGUAUAUUUAUGCAACAUAUGAAAUGAGAUGACAAAUAUUUUAAAUUGAUGCAUGCAUGUGGUGUAGUGUGACUGAAUUUUUAAAUGUAUAUAGUAUGUAUAUAGCAACAUGAUCCAACAGGGGAGUAAGUACUAUCUAUUGGGUGUACGUCGUUCAACCCAUGUCUCUUUAUUUUUCUUGCAGAUCAAGAAAGUCAGCUCGUGUAUGUUUAGAAGAUAAUUGAGAGAGCUAAAUAGGUAAGAUAAUUGAGAGAGCUAAAUAGGUAAAUGUUUAAAUUCUCGGAAGUUAGAAUAAGGCAUUUUAUAGGUGCAUUUUAGUGAAGUGUAUGUAUUUCAUUAGUAUUCAUAAGUUUUAAAUUUUAGUGAAAUUUUGUAAGUUAUAAUUAUGAUGCCUUGUAUUUAUGGGAGUAAGGUCUCGUAGAUAGAUACGGCAUGCCACAUUGCAAAUCCGGUCCAAGAACCCGGAUAUGGGCGUGACAUAAAAAGCAUUCUGUAUCAAUAUUUUGAGUACAAUAGAAGCCACAGAUGAACGUGCUACUAUGCUUUCUCUCAGAAGGACGAUACUAAGAAUUCCAGGGUCACUCACUGUUGGAUACCAAGACGAAUUAAUAACGGUGACUGGGUGAUUGAUCCAGUUUGUUGAUACGUUGGCCACGGGGUAAUAUGAAGUUUGAGAGAGUACUAAAUGGAAACACGGAAGGAAAGAUAAAUAAAAAUAACAAUUGCAACAUUAAGAAAAUAGUGAUGCUGGCCCAUUCUAGCUUCUUCAGGCAAGUAUUUCAAUCAGCUCCCUGAAAUCUAAAUGAUCUAAAAUGAAAAGAACAAAAAACAACUAAUUAAGGACAAGGAUGAAGCUAUUUUUGAAGGAAAGUAUUUUUACGUGUGACUUUGUAUUUGCUAAAAAAUGAUCUGGUGAGUUUCUGCAAUCGACUGUUUUUAGGUCAUUCAGCAUUGAUGCCUCUGGCAUAGAAAAGUCGCUAGAAAUUCAUGACCACUAACACAUGCGCUCAUAGCUUUACUUGCUGUUGCUCAAGUUUGACUGCAAAGUAAUGACCCAACUCGUGUCAAUUUUCAACGAAUUUAGUUCUGUUUCUCCUCAACUGAGAGGAAAUUCCCGAAAGACCAUGGAAACUUCUUCAUUGAUCCAACAAGUUAAAAACAAUCAUCGAGAAUAUUGUUGCACAUAUCAAAUGGGAUAUUACAGUACAAAAGUACAAUAGUAUCAACUCUAGAAGAGAAGAGAUGCCCAUCUGCAUCUCUAUUUAUUAGUAAGGGCUCUUAAGAAGCAUUUAUUAACUAACAUUUUGAGUAACACAGAAGCUACAGAUGAACCGUGCUACUACCCUUCUUGGAGAAGGAUGACACUAAGAAAAACAUGAUCAUUCAGUGUAUGAAUUAACAACUGCGACUUCAUGAUUGAUACAGGUUGUCGAUGAGUUGGCCAUGGGGUAGCAUGAAGUCUGAGAAACUAUCAGAUAGAAACACCGAAGGAAAGAUAGAUACACACAAUACUUGCAACAUUAAGAAGAAAGUGAUUCUGGCUCAUUGCUUCUUCAGGCCAGUGCUUCCACUCUCCGCUAAUCAUGAUCUGAAAUGAAGAAAACAGCUUAGUACAAAAAUGAAGCUAUGUCCGAAAGAAAGUGCUUUAUACAUGGGACUUUAUGCAGAAUAAAAUUAAUAACUACAAUAGUGCAAUUCUCUGAUUCACUGUUUGUAUGUCAUUUUUCACCGCUAAAGCUUUCGAGAAGGUGAAAUCAAUGAAAGUUGUUAGCACUAGCUCUAUGCAUCCUUCAAAUGGAAAUCUAGUUGGCAUUUCUGGUACAUUGUCUAAGUCGCCCUCCUCAACCUCCCUGGCUAAUCUUUUCUUUCAGAUUAUACAGAUUGUUAAACCAAUUAGGACAGUCAAUAAAAUGAAAGCUGCAAUAGCAUAUCCCAAUAUGCUAUACAGAUUGUUAAACCAAUUAGGACAGUCAAGAGUUGGAGUACCUUUAGGAGAAGUUUUUGCAGGAGCUGAUGCAUUUGGUGUGAUCUGCACCUUCAUGAACACAGAUGAAUUAUAAUGAGUCUUGUCCUGCUCAUUGUUCAUCAAUGAAAAGAUCUGGGCAGG